AUUGAACGCUGGCGGCAUGCUUUACACAUGCAAGUCGAACGGUAACAGGUCUUCGGAUGCUGACGAGUGGCGAACGGGUGAGUAAUGCAUCGGAACGUGCCCAGUCGUGGGGGAUAACGCAGCGAAAGCUGUGCUAAUACCGCAUACGAUCUAUGGAUGAAAGCGGGGGACCGUAAGGCCUCGCGCGAUUGGAGCGGCCGAUGUCAGAUUAGGUAGUUGGUGGGGUAAAGGCCCACCAAGCCAACGAUCUGUAGCUGGGCUGAGAGGACGACCAGCCACACUGGGACUGAGACACGGCCCAGACUCCUACGGGAGGCAGCAGUGGGGAAUUUUGGACAAUGGGCGCAAGCCUGAUCCAGCAAUGCCGCGUGCAGGAAGAAGGCCUUCGGGUUGUAAACUGCUUUUGUACGGAACGAAACGGUCUGGGUUAAUACCCUGGGCUAAUGACGGUACCGUAAGAAUAAGCACCGGCUAACUACGUGCCAGCCGCCGCCGUAAUAC
rnacentral:rRNA from 1 species